rnacentral:rRNA from 1 species
UACGGAAGGCAGCAGUGGGGAAUAUUGCACAAUGGGCGCAAGCCUGAUGCAGCCAUGCCGCGUGUAUGAAAAAGGCCUUCGGGUUGUAAAGUACUUUCAGUCGUGAGGAAGGUGUUAAGGUUAAUAACCUUAGCAAUUGACGUUAGCGACAGAAGAAGCACCGGCUAACUCCGUGCCAGCAGCCGCGGUAAUACGGAGGGUGCGAGCGUUAAUCGGAAUUACUGGGCGUAAAGGGCACGCAGGCGGUUAAUUAAAGUUGGAUGUGAAAUCCCCGGGCUUAACCUGGGAAUGGCAUUCAAGACUGGUUAGCUAGAGUCUUGUAGAGGGGGGUAGAAUUCCAUGUGUAGUGGUGAAAUGCGUAGAGAUGUGGAGGAAAUACCGGUGGCGAAAGGCGGCCCCCUGGACAAAAGACUGACGCUCAUGUGCGAAAAGCGUGGGGAGCAAAACAGGGAUUAGAUACC